rnacentral:rRNA from 1 species
ACAGGUGCUGCAUGGCUGUCGUCAGCUCGUGUCGUGUAGAUGUUGGUUAAGUCCGCAACGAGCGCAACCCUUGUCAUUAGUUGCCAUCAUUGGUUGGGCACUCUAAUGAGACUGCCGGUGACAAACCGGAGGAAGGUGGGGAUGACGUCAAGUCCUCAUGGCCCUUAUGGGUAGGGCUUCACACGUCAUACAAUGGUCGGUACAGAGGGUUGCCAACCCGCGAGGGGGAGCUAAUCCCACAAAGCCGAUCGUAGUCCGGAUCGCAGUCUGCAACUCGACUGCGUGAAGUCGGAAUCGCUAGUAAUCGUGGAUCAGCAUGUCACGGUGAAUACGUUCCCGGGUCUU